GGAUUAAUUUGGACGCUGUGAGAUAGGGGAAUGGGGUCCAGAUGCCGAAGACACUGGCUGAUUCUACAGAAGACGAAACUGAGGGAUGAGUACUUUCCUGAAGCUUCACAGAAUCAGUAGUGGAUGAGAGCCUAGGGCUUGAAGAACUCAAACUCAGGCAGAAGUCUGUGGAGGAGAGACUGUUCCAUGAGGAGACUGCUGCCGACAGAACAGAAACGGUUUCCCGUAAACCCUCUCAGACACUGUCCGAUGGAUCCUCCCCUGUGCCUCAUGAUGUGUUGGUUCCUGGAACAGGCCACUGCGCUGCAAAGGUGUGAUUUGGACAUUGGGAAUUUUAAAAGCGUUUCUGCCUUAUACCUUGAAUGAAAAAAACUUCUCAAGACACUGGACAUCAGAUAUUUUCUAUUGCUGUAUCUUCAAGUUUACCAGACUUUUCUUCUGUAAUGUCCAGUGUAUUUUUAAAUCUUGCUCAUCUCUAGUCUUGGCUGAUGUGCCUCAGUGGAUUGGGUGCUGGCCUGCAAACCGAAAGGUUGCUGGUUCAAUUCCCAGUCAGGGCACAUGCCUGGGUUGCAGGCCAGGUCCCUAGGGGGCACGUGAGAGGCAACCACACACCGAUGUUUCUCUCCCUCUCUCCCUC